rnacentral:rRNA from 1 species
CCUACGGGUGGCAGCAGUGGGGAAUAUUGCACAAUGGGGGAAACCCUGAUGCAGCGACGCCGCGUGAGUGAAGAAGUCCUUCGGUACGUAAAGCUCUAUCAGCAGGGAAGAAACACUGACCUUACGGUCAGCCGACGGUCCCUGAGUAAGAAGCCACGGCUAACUACGUGCCAGCAGCCGCGGUAAUACGUAGGGUGCAAGCGUUAUCCGGAUUUACUGGGUGUAAAGGGAGCGUAGCCGGUGCGCCAAGUCGGGAGUGAAAUGCCGCAGCUUAACUGCGGAACUGCUUUGGAAACUGGGGAACUAGAGUGAGGGAGGGGUAAGCGGAAUUCCUAGUGUAGCGGUGAAAUGCGUAGAUAUUAGGAGGAACACCGGUGGCGAAGGCGGCCUACUGGACCGUAACUGACGUUGAGGCGCGAAAGCGUGGGGAGCAAACAGGAUUAGAUACCCUAGUAGUC